GACUGUACCCGAAUAAGAAGGUCCGGCUAACUUCGUGCCAGCAGCCGCGGUAAUACGAAGGGACCUAGCGUAGUUCGGAAUUACUGGGCUUAAAGAGUUCGUAGGUGGUUGAAAAAGUUGGUGGUGAAAUCCCAGAGCUUAACUCUGGAACUGCCAUCAAAACUUUUCAGCUAGAGUAUGAUAGAGGAAAGCAGAAUUUCUAGUGUAGAGGUGAAAUUCGUAGAUAUUAGAAAGAAUACCAAUUGCGAAGGCAGCUUUCUGGAUCAUUACUGACACUGAGGAACGAAAGCAUGGGUAGCGAAGAGGAUUAGAUACCCUCGUAGUCCAUGCCGUAAACGAUGUGUGUUAGACGUUGGAAAUUUAUUUUCAGUGUCGCAGGGAAACCGAUAAACACACCGCCUGGGGAGUACGACCGCAAGGUUAAAACUCAAAUGAAUUGACGGGGACCCGCACAAGUAGUGGAGCAUGUGGUUUAAUUCGAAGAUACGCGCAGAACCUUACCAACACUUGACAUGUUCGUCGCGACUCUAAGAGAUUAGAGUUUUCGGUUCGGCCGGACGAAACACAGGUGCUGCAUGGCUGUCGUCAGCUCGUGUCGUGAGAUGUUGGGUUAAGUCCCGCAACGAGCGCAACCCUCACUUUUAGUUGCCAUCAUUAAGUUGGGCACUCUGAAAGAACUGCCAGUGAUAAGCUGGAGGAAGGUGGGGAUGACGUCAAGUCCUCAUGGCCCUUACGUGUUGGGCUACACACGUGCUACAAUGGCA
rnacentral:rRNA from 1 species